GUCCACGCCGUAAACGAUGUCUACUAGCCGUUGGGAGACUUGAUUUCUUAGUGGCGCAGCUAACGCUUUAAGUAGACCGCCUGGGAGUACGGCCGCAAGGUUAAACUCAAAUGAAUUGACGGGCCCGCACAAGCGGUGGAGCAUGUGGUUUAAUUCGAUGCAACGCGAAGAACCUUACCAGGUCUUGACAUCCAGAGAACUUGGCAGAGAUGCCUUGGUGCCUUCGGGAGCUCUGAGACAGGUGCUGCAUGGCUGUCGU
rnacentral:rRNA from 1 species